rnacentral:rRNA from 1 species
AGUAAUACAUAAGUAACCUGCCCUAGACAGGGGGAUAACUAUUGGAAACGAUAGCUAAGACCGCAUAGGUACGGACACUGCAUGGUGACCGUAUUAAAAGUGCCUCAAAGCACUGGUAGAGGAUGGACUUAUGGCGCAUUAGCUGGUUGGCGGGGUAACGGCCCACCAGGGCGACGAUGCGUAGCCGACCUGAGAGGGUGACCGGCCACACUGGGACUGAGACACGGCCCAG